rnacentral:lncRNA from 1 species
UUGGCUUCCACAUGGUUUCUGGUGACAGCACUGACCACGAACACAGCUCCUCCUGGCUACAGCAGGCCCACCUGUCUAGACAUGGUUGUUGGAGGUAGCACAGACCAUGGACAUCCAGACGGUGGGCAUGACCAUGACCUCAGGUGGUAGUACAGGACACUCACAUCAACAUGACCUUCGGCAGCAGCACAGCCCACAUGACCUCAGGCUGCAGCACAGACCACAAACAUCACAUGGCCUUCUAUGGUAACACAGGCCAUGGACAUCAACACAGAUGCCAGCUGUGGUAUGUGAGGAGUACACUGUUGCUGUCAGAAGAGAGCAUCGGAUCCCCAUUACAGAUGGUUGUGAGCCAUCAUGUGGUUGCUGGGCAUUGAACUCAGGACCUCUGGAAGAGCAGUCAGUGCUCUUAGCCACUGAGCCAUCUCUCCAGCCCCGAGGCUUUUAAGAGUUCACAGGGCGGCUCCUUUACAACUGUGCACUUAGUUUCCAGGAGAGCCAGAGGGACCCUGCAGGAGCUGCCUUUUCUCUCUCAGGAUGAGGAGCAGAGUUGAAGCCCAUGCCGAGAGUCAAGGCUGCAAGAUCAAAGAUCAGAGGGUUGUCCACUCAGCCUGGUUACCAAUGACAAAGAAAGCGCUCAGAGAAACCUCUGGACUUGUGAAAGGACACAGACCCCCUUAGAAACAAGGUGACCUGACCGCAGAGGCCCCAGCUCCGGCUCGAGGUGAGCCAAGGGGACGAUCACGCACAAGAACCAUGAGGCCCAAUCCGCACAGAGUUGAGGUGGUGACAUGCCCAUUCCGAAGUAUGGAAGGGACUGGUGGCCCUCGAAUCAGGUCAGGCCAUCUCCAGUCACGACGUCUGGCUCAGAAGUAGAAGCUUGGCAGAAGCUAGCUGUUCCCAGAGCUGAAUCAACCCCGUGCCAAUUUGGCUUAUGAAAUGUUUACCAGCAGCGAGGGAGAGCGUGGCAAAAGGCACAGCGAGGCCCAAAGGGCUUUUAAAACUCCACUUGCUUAAUUUCUGUUUUUAUAAUAAUAAGCUUCCGGGAGUGAGUUUCAACAAGCCCGGCCCUCUCAAUUGUAGGACCCUGGCCAGAAAGCAAAAGAAGGGUCCCGUGCAGACAUGUGUAAAGGAAAUCUAUUUAAAUAAACUAUCUGAUGAAACGGCAUAAAGACAUACCCUUACGUUUACCUUCAAAUGCCCACCCAUCCCAGUCGUGUCUGGAUUUAGAAUCGUCAGUGAUACAGGUUGUUGAAGUGCAUAUCUGUAACACCAGCCUUUGGAGGAAAAGACAGAAGGAUCUGGAGUUUCAAGUCAGCCCAGGCUAGAGUGAGAUCCAUUCUUCAAACCAGCCAGACAACAAACAAAAAACCCUGAAACUGUUGAGAGUUCCACAGUGUCUGUCUGUAAGACACCUCAGUGGAAAUGUCCCUAACCUCGGGCUCCUUCCAGGACUGUGGACAUAGCUCCCUUUUCACCAAAUGGUCAUCUUUCUCGCUGUACUUGGGGUCCAACACAACAGGCUGUGCCUCUGUGAGGGUGUCCCGCUAACCCACUGCAGCCCCGGGACCCGAGGCCAGGCAUUCCCACUCUAUCACUACUUUCUAGGCACCCCAGCCCUGCACCACAAUGGAGACAUCUACCUUGCUUACCCAAGAGCAUUGGAAUUGAAUCUGUGAAAGGAAGGCAGCAGUAGUAACUGCAUGGUGUGGUUUGAAGAUUGCCGUUAGCUCCCGAACAGCUGCUGCAGGAUAAAACUUCCCCAAGGACACGGUGUCUCCUCACUCUCUCCUCCCAAAAACACUGAGUCCCGAGACUUGCCAC